rnacentral:rRNA from 1 species
GACAGAGGGUGCAAACGUUGUUCGGAAUUACUGGGCGUAAAGCGCGUGUAGGCGGCCCUGCAAGUCGGGCGUGAAAUCCCACGGCUCAACCGUGGAAGUGCAUUCGAAACUGCAGGGCUAGAGUCCUGGAGAGGAAGGUGGAAUGCUUGGUGUAGAGGUGAAAUUCGUAGAUAUCAAGCGGAACACCGGUGGCGAAGGCGGCCUUCUGGACAGUGACUGACGCUGAGACGCGAAAGCGUGGGGAGCAAACAGG